CUUCAAAAUCCAAUAACUCCUUUAUUUCAACUUAGAAUCCAGUAAGCAGUAUAUAAAAAGUGUAGCCACAAAAAUGUUCUCUAUAGUCGCGGUCGCUGAUCCUCAAUUGCUGUCUGUAUGUGUACGUUGUGCCAAAAAGAGUGACAGUAGUUCUCAAAUCAAUACCUUAACUUUGAGCUCUUGUAUCUCCUUCAUAUAAACUCCAAACCAUACAAAACUUGUACCAAAAUCAUAGCCAAAAAACUAAACCUUUUGAUCCUAGCCUUCAAAACUCAAAUGGCCUCGAGAAACUAACCCUAAUUCCUAGUAUGGCCUCGGACAGCCUCC
rnacentral:lncRNA from 1 species